rnacentral:tRNA from 1 species
GCCGGGAUAGCUCAGUCGGUAGAGCAGGGGACUGAAAAUCCCCGUGUCGGUGGUUCGAUUCCGCCUCCCGGCA